ACCACAACGGGUGGAGCUUGCGGUUUAAUUGGAUUCAACGCCGGAAAUCUUACCGGACCGACAGCAAUAUGAAGGCCAGGCUGAAGACUUUGCCGGAUUAGCUGAGAGGUGGUGCAUGGCCGUCGUCAGUUCGUACUGUGAAGCAUCCUGUUAAGUCAGGCAACGAGCGAGACCCACGCCCACAGUUGCCAGCGUACUCUCUGGAGUGACGGGUACACUGUGGGACCGCCGCUGCUAAAGCGGAGGAAGGAAUGGGCAACGGUAGGUCAGUAUGCCCCGAAUAUCCCGGGCUACACGCGAGCUACAAUGGUUGGUACAAUGGGUAUCUACCCCGAAAGGGGACGGGAAUCUCCUAAAACCAAUCUUAGUUCGGAUUGAGGGCUGCAACUCGCCCUCAUGAAGCUGGAAUCCGUAGUAAUCGCGUUUCAACAGAACGCGGUCGAAUACCCGUCCCUGCUCCUU
rnacentral:rRNA from 1 species